rnacentral:lncRNA from 1 species
GUGACUGUUGAGAACUGAAUGCCAUGUCUCUGUCUCUUCCCAGCUCCAGGUCUCAAAGCACCUACAGAAGUGAACCACUCCCUUCUGUGCAGCACAUGAGAGUCUCACUGUGUGAUCUCUUCCUUCUUUAGGGCUCUGGCUGACAUCUUAAGACAACAGGGACCAAUCCCCAUAGCACACUGUGAAAGAGAAACUAUCUCGGCUAUCAAUACCUCUCCCAAAGAGAACACACCGGUCAGAUCGUCCUCCAAAAAUCACUACACCCCCGUGCGUACAACCAAGCAGACUCCGGGGCAUUAUGGGAAGGAUGCUUACCGAAGUGGAGGACCAGAUCUCCAUAACUUCAUCUCAUCUGGAUUUGUCACACUAGGAAGAGGACACACGAAGGGUGAUCGUCAGUAUAAUCAUCCGAUUUUAAGCAGUGCUACCCAGACCCCUACACAUGAGAAGCCUCGGAUGAACAACAUCCUGACAUCGGCCACCGAGCCCUAUGACCUCUCCUUCUCCCGCUCUUUCCAGAACUUGGCACACCUGCCCCCAUCCUAUGAGUCUGCAGUAAAGACCAACCCGAGCAAGUAUUCAUCUCUGAAGAGGCUAAGUAAGCCAAGUUCCUCCCAGGGUUGAGGUCUGUCUCUGAUGUCUCCAAGAAAUCUUCCUCUCUGUUUCUCUCUCUUGUCCUGUCCCCAAGAGAACAACUGCUCAAUCCCAAGAACAAAGAAUGAGUUGUAUGUGGGAAGAAGAGUACUAUAUGCAAGCAUCUUACUUUUCUCCUUUGGGGCGUAAGUCCAUUCUUGCCAUAGACAGAACAGAAGUCAUGGAUUCUUAGAUCUGCAUUCCUAUAAUAUAUAUAAUAAUAUAUAUAAUAUAUAUAAUAAUAUAAUAAUUCCUAUAUUCCUAUAGAAAGCCCUCCCCAGUCUUGCACAACUUGCCCAUCAGCCUUCUGCAAACCAUGGGCUCUCAUUCCUCUCUGUCCCAUUUUGGAAUAGUGGUUACCAAUGUCCAGAGCUUAUUGUGAGACCCCUCCAGAGACCCAUAAUCAGCUCCCUCUCUAA